AUGACUUGCUUAUACCCUGUCUUCUCCAUUAGACUGAGGACUCCUUGGGGCCAAAGACUGUGGCUUAUGUACUGGUCCAAUGUUCAGCUCUGUGUGCAGCAGGUGCUCAGACAGUGCUGGAGGGCCUGUCUUUUGAAUCUGUCUGCUGUUCUUUCCUUUGCUCUUCAUUUCAACAUGUCUUUUCCUCUUACUCUUUGUGAUUUUCACUUGAUCCUUUUGAGUUUUGAUUCCAAAGUUCUUAAGAGACAGAGAUCCUAUUGGCUGGUGCAAGACCAUAGCAGUUGUGUGUGUGUGUGUGUGUGUGAGAGAGAGAGAGAGAGAGAGAGAGAGAGGGAGAGGGAGAGGGAGAGGGAGAGGGAGAGGGAGAGGGAGAGGGAGAGGGAGAGGGAGAGCGCUGAGUCACUGUCUCCCAUUUCUGGCUUUGCUUCUCACAUCCACAACCCAUGUGCUCUACUUCCAUUUUUUCCUCUCAUUCCUGUUCCAAGCACAUCUGAAGGGCCCUCCAGACUAAGACUCCACCAUGAGCACCUUUCACCUUGCACUUCCCCGACCCUGCUUCCCUUGUCCAGGACUACCAACAGGAUGCUGGACCAGGCUGAGCUGGACAGCCAUAGCCAGGUAGCCAGUUGAAUCCCUCUCCAGUGAUAACAAAGGUCUGGAGUCUCAGAGGGCUUUUCCUAGGACAAGACGUACCUCCAGAUCAAGAAAUUAUUUCAGCUGUGGCAUGAUCAACAAGUUCUGGAGCGGAAGGAAACCUUUCUAAACCACAAAUAACAAAAAACAUCUAUCUAUUAUGUCAGAAGACAAAGUUGUCUUUCUAUUCUCUGUACAUAAAAUGGCAUUGUAAAAUUUUUACCAUGUGAAAAAAGAUCAAUGAGUAUAACGCCAAAAAUAUAGGGAAAAGAUGUAUUACAUAGAUGGGUCAGCACUUAAGUUGUAAUUGUAGCAAAAAUUGUUAAUUAAAAC
rnacentral:lncRNA from 1 species